GAUGAACGCUGGCGGCGUGCCUAAUACAUGCAAGUCGAGCGAACAGACGAGGAGCUUGCUCCUCUGACGUUAGCGGCGGACGGGUGAGUAACACGUGGAUAACCUACCUAUAAGACCGGGAUAACUUCGGGAAACCGGAGCUAAUACCAGAUAACAUGUUGAACCGCGUGGUUCAACAGUGAAAGACGGUCUUGCUGUCACUUAUAGAUGGAUCCGCGCCGCAUUAGCUAGUUGGUAAGGUAACGGCUUACCAAGGCAACGAUGCGUAGCCGACCUGAGAGGGUGAUCGGCCACACUGGAACUGAGACACGGUCCAGACUCCUACGGGAGGCAGCAGUAGGGAAUCUUCCGCAAUGGGCGAAAGCCUGACGGAGCAACGCCGCGUGAGUGAUGAAGGUCUUCGGAUCGUAAAACUCUGUUAUUAGGGAAGAACAAAUGUGUAAGUAACUAUGCACGUCUUGACGGCACCUAAUCAGAAAGCCACGGCUAACUACGUGCCAGCCGCCGCCGUAACAC
rnacentral:rRNA from 1 species